GCUCCAAUCUGUCUCUGAAAAGGCCCUUCUAAAGUAGUUAUUUUGCACCAGAUCCUCCUGGUUUCAGCAGGUGGGUUUAGAAGCUAGACGUGCUGAUGCAGAGCUCCUGGCACCUGGGGUGGCAAUGCCAGGUGAGGGCAAUCAGGGCUAAUUAGAGUGGGAGGGGCUGGCAGUGGCUGUGUCUUUCAGACCUUUGUAAGCUUUGUUGGGAGCACAACUGUUGGUGUUCCAUAGCUCUGGGUGAGGAGGAGAUGGGUGUAGCAGCAAGCAAAGAGGGCACAGGAAAGGUUCACUACUUUGGAAGGUCCCUAGCUCAAUGGAUAAACAUCUCUUUUUAGCUUUCAAACAAGUUUUGGACCAGAUAGAAGAACUGAGGCCCAGAAAAUCCCACGUCAUGUGAAAUGGCACAGUGGUUUGGUGACGGAGUUGCUCUUUCCUACUCCUAUAAGCUGAAGAAAACUGCCCUGCUCUUCUGUUGUGUUUAUAGUAGCAUGCAAGCAAUCAGCCAAACAUUUCCCUGCAUGAAUCUCAUGUUUUUUUGAGCUCCUUCUGUACUUCCACAAUCACUUAGUAGUUAAAAAUGACCUGCGCUCUGCGUAUUCUGCCUGUCCGUGCUUGGGAAGGAAGUUCUGAAUUACCUUAAGCGUCUGAUUUUUAUAUAUAUAUAUUUUAAAUAUAGCUUUCAAUUCAUUCACUCUUAAUUCAAUAAGAACCAUAGUUAACAGAUAUCUAUGAGUGCAGACUGUAGCCUCAAUUUUUCACGUUUAUGGGCUUUUCUGUGUAUUCAUCUAAUGAAAAGUAAAGACUGGGCAGUUGCAUGUAAAUAUUCAUAAAUAAUAGUGCUUGAGGCUGCUGCCCGCGUGCGUGAAUGAAACUCUGUUUUUCUCCUGUCACAUGAAGCUUUAAGGACUUUUUGUCCUGAUCAAGAAGGAAUGCUUUAAUAAGCAUCCAUGUUAGAGGGUUUGUGCUGUGUAAGCUUGGUACAGACCAUAUGGGCAAAAAGGCACGUUGUGUGGCAACAACUGCCCUGCUUGUCAUCCCCAAUCAUACUUGCUCUAAUCCUUGUUUUAAUUUACUCUGCUUGUACGGCACCAAUUCUGCCAGUGCGGUCCUUGGGGUCCCUUCAUUCCUGCCAUUUAUGACAAGGAAUAUGCAAAGGCACAAUUAUUCAUCCACUAAGGUGACAGAGAAGGGCUCUGCUUGGGAAUACGUUCCCAGACUUGCAGCAUCAUAAUGUCAGUUGUUAAAGCACUUUGCAGUUGCCAACAA